UUUCCGUAGGUGAACCUGCGGAAGGAUCAUUAUUGUAUGACACAGGUGCGAUGGCUGUCGCUGACCCGACCGGUCGUGAACGCCCGGGUGCCCUCACCCCCAUCCAUUUCACCACUAUGUGCGCCACCGCCUGCGUCCCCCUUUGGCUUGUUCGGAGGGGGGCUUCCGUUUUCACACAAACUUUGUAUGCAGUGUAGAAUGUGUUUUUUGUUUUAGCGAUCACGCAAUCAAUACAACUUUCAACAACGGAUCUCUUGGCUCUG
rnacentral:misc_RNA from 1 species